UAAUUUGAGAGUUUGAUCCUGGCUCAGAAUGAACGCUGGCGGCGCGCCUAACACAUGCAAGUCGAACGAGAAAUCUCGAGCUUGCUCGAGAGAGUAAAGUGGCGCACGGGUGAGUAACGCGUGGGUAACCUGCCCUUAAGUCUGGGAUAAUCCACCGAAAGGUGGCCUAAUACCAGAUACUGUCCCGAGAACCACGGUUCUCGGGAUGAAAGCUGACCUCUUCAUGAAAGUUGGCGCUUGAGGAGGGGCUCGCGUGCCAUUAGCUUGUUGGUAGGGUAAUGGCCUACCAAGGCUACGAUGGUUAGCUGGUCUGAGAAGACAACCAGCCACACUGGAACUGAGACACGGUCCAGACUCCUACGGGAGGCAGCAGUGAGGAAUCUUGCGCAAUGGGGGAAACCCUGACGCAGCGACGCCGCGUGAGUGAAGAAGGCUUUCGAGUCGUAAAGCUCUGUCAAGUGGGAAUAAAAUCCCGCGUUGAAUAGACGCGGGAUCUGAAGGUACCAUUGGAGGAAGCACCGGCUAACUCCGUGCCAGCAGCCGCGGUAAUACGGAGGGUGCAAGCGUUAUUCGGAUUUAUUGGGCGUAAAGAGCGUGUAGGCGGUUGGGUUAGUCAGAUGUGAAAGCCUUCUGCUCAACAGAAGAAGUACAUCUGAAACUGCCCAGCUUGAGUACGAGAGAGGAAAGUGGAAUUCCCAGUGUAGAGGUGAAAUUCGUAGAUAUUGGGAGGAACACCUGUGGCGAAGGCGACUUUCUGGAUCGAUACUGACGCUGAGACGC
rnacentral:rRNA from 1 species